GACGAACGCUGGCGGCGUGCUUAACACAUGCAAGUCGAACGGAAAGGCCCUGCUUUUGUGGGGUGCUCGAGUGGCGAACGGGUGAGUAACACGUGAGUAACCUGCCCUUGACUUUGGGAUAACUUCAGGAAACUGGGGCUAAUACCGGAUAGGAGCUCCUGCUGCAUGGUGGGGGUUGGAAAGUUUCGGCGGUUGGGGAUGGACUCGCGGCUUAUCAGCUUGUUGGUGGGGUAGCGGCUUACCAAGGCUUUGACGGGUAGCCGGCCUGAGAGGGUGACCGGCCACAUUGGGACUGAGAUACGGCCCAGACUCCUACGGGAGGCAGCAGUGGGGAAUAUUGCACAAUGGGCGGAAGCCUGAUGCAGCAACGCCGCGUGCGGGGUGACGGCCUUCGGGUUGUAAACCGCUUUCGCCUGUGACGAAGCGUGAGUGACGGUAAUGGGUAAAGAAGCACCGGCUAACUACGUG
rnacentral:rRNA from 1 species